GCCAAGCCCCGCAUGAAGGAUGGAAGCGGCAUCCUUUUUAUACCUUUUAGGCUACUAGCCUUUAAGAGGCUAGUAGCCUAAAAGGUAUAAAAAGAUAUAGCGAACAGCCUGACGCAGC
rnacentral:sRNA from 1 species